AGUAAUGUGUAGGUAUUUUCGUAUGAAUCUAUAGUACGAAUAAAGGCAACCCGGGGAACUGAAACAUCUAAGUACCCGGAGGAAGAGAAAGAAAAAUCGAUUUCCUAAGUAGCGGCGAGCGAAAGGGAAAGAGGCCAAACCGUUAGUUUACUAACGGGGUUGUGGAUCACAGCCGUGGUAGAUACAAGUUUAGCAGAAGACAACUGGAAAGUUUGCGACAUAGAGGGUAAUAUCCCCGUAUGCGAAAAAUGAGUAUCACCUAUGUGACACCAGAGUAGGACCGAACACG
rnacentral:rRNA from 1 species